rnacentral:antisense_RNA from 1 species
AAUCACAGCUGGAUGCAAAACGUUCGAAACGUUAACGAUGCCCCUACAGAUUUAGGAGUAACAAGGCGGCUCUCACGAGAUGCUAGACAGAUCAAACAGAAAGGUGGAUAUUUGGAAAGAACAGUCUUCUCCCACUGAUGAGGUAAACCUCGAGACCAAUCCAGAAAUAAAUUGCCAAGCUUCUAUCAAAUAAUUCAAAAAGAGAUCCAGGACUCUUGAUGAUACACUUGAGGUCACUAAAUAUGAAAGAUGAUAGCAUCUUGGAAGGCAACAGCAGAGGAAAGGAGAAUUUUCACAGGGAAGAAGAAAGAGUUGGUGAAAGUGAAAUUGCUUUAACAAAAUAAUGAUCUCUAUACCUCCUACUCGAAAUGUGGUUUGAAGGACAGUAUCAUCAGCAUUACUUGGAGCUUGUGAGAAAUUUAGAAUUUCAAGGCCCCCUCGACCCCAACUUACUGGUGCAAACUCUGUAUUGUAACCCGAUCCCCAAGGUGAUUCUAGUGUACAUUAAAGUGUGAGUCUUGUUAUGAAUGGAUUCUUAUAGUGCUGCAAUUUAGAACAUCUUUUAAUAAUUAUAAAGACAAUUUUGUGUCUCUUGUAUCGGAAAUAAGUAUUAAAGGCAAAAUAUAUAUUGAUAUCAUGGCACUGUUCUUAAGGAAUUAACAUCCAGAUGAAUUAUUUUGCAUCUUUUCAUUGGAAAUAAAAAGCCCGGGGCUGGGUGGCGGGCGAAAGAAUCAGAGAGCUCUGAUCAGUGUGUAGAUGUAUCAAUAUCUAUUUAAUAUGUACUCCAGCAGAGAGUCCAGGCUUUAAAUCAUUGGAAGCAAUCUCUCAAUUUUUAUUCUCAACAUGUUUCACCUUUAGGCAAUAUUACAAUAAAAUUCUCUGUGGGUUUGUAA